GGGUUGUGAGGUUAAGCGACUAAGCGUACACGGUGGAUGCCCUGGCAGUCAGAGGCGAUGAAGGGCGUGCUAAUCUGCGAUAAGCGCCGGUAAGGUGAUAUGAACCGUUAUAACCGGCGAUACCCGAAUGGGGAAACCCAGUGUGAUUCGUCACACUAUCAUUAACUGAAUCCAUAGGUUAAUGAGGCGAACCGGGGGAACUGAAACAUCUAAGUACCC
rnacentral:rRNA from 4 species